AGCGAACGCUGGCGGCAGGCCUAACACAUGCAAGUCGAACGAACUCUUCGGAGUUAGUGGCGGACGGGUGAGUAACACGUGGGAACGUGCCUUUUGGUUCGGAAUAACUCAGGGAAACUUGUGCUAAUACCGAAUGUGCCCUUCGGGGGAAAGAUUUAUCGCCAUUAGAGCGGCCCGCGUCUGAUUAGCUAGUUGGUGAGGUAACGGCUCACCAAGGCGACGAUCAGUAGCUGGUCUGAGAGGAUGACCAGCCACACUGGGACUGAGACACGGCCCAGACUCCUACGGGAGGCGGCAGUCGGGAAUCUUGCGCAAUGGGCGAAAGCCUGACGCAGCCAUGCCGCGUGAAUGAUGAAGGUCUUAGGAUUGUAAAAUUCUUUCACCGGGGACGAUAAUGACGGUACCCGGAGAAGAAGCCCCGGCUAACUUCGUG
rnacentral:rRNA from 1 species